rnacentral:rRNA from 1 species
GUGGGGAAUCUUAGACAAUGGGCGCAAGCCUGAUCUAGCCAUGCCGCGUGAGCGAUGAAGGCCUUAGGGUUGUAAAGCUCUUUCGUGGGGGAAGAUAAUGACUGUACCCCAAGAAGAAGCCCCUGCUAACUCCGUGCCAGCAGCCGCGGUAAUACGGAGGGGGCUAGCGUUGUUCGGAAUUACUGGGCGUAAAGCGCACGUAGGCGGACUGGAAAGUCAGGGGUGAAAUCCCGGGGCUCAACCCCGGAACUGCCUUUGAAACUCCCAGUCUUGAGUUCGAGAGAGGUGAGUGGAAUUCCGAGUGUAGAGGUGAAAUUCGUAGAUAUUCGGAGGAACACCAGUGGCGAAGGCGGCUCACUGGCUCGAUACUGACGCUGAGGUGCGAAAGCGUGGGGAGCAAACAGGAUUAGAUACCCCGGUAGUCC